rnacentral:rRNA from 1 species
GGCCUACCAAGGCGAUGAUGCAUAGCCGAGUUGAGAGACUGAUCGGCCACAAUGGGACUGAGACACGGCCCAUACUCCUACGGGAGGCAGCAGUAGGGAAUCUUCCACAAUGGGCGCAAGCCUGAUGGAGCAACACCGCGUGAGUGAAGAAGGGUUUCGGCUCGUAAAGCUCUGUUGUUAAAGAAGAACACGUAUGAGAGUAACUGUUCAUACGUUGACGGUAUU